rnacentral:tRNA from 1 species
UGGGGCUGGGGCUCAGUGGCAGAGCACUCGCCCAACACGUGUGAGGCUCUGGGUUCGAUCCUCAGCACCACAA